GAAAAUGAUGAUAAUGAUUGUCGCCCCAGUCUUACAAAGCAUCUCCAAUAGAUGCUUUUAAUGUGGUGAUUGACCUUUUUUAUCUGAUUC
rfam:Beta vulgaris subsp. vulgaris 0334.scaffold00822.con0003.1, whole genome shotgun sequence.